AUUCCUAUUAGAUUUUGGCCCAAUUUCCUAUAGGAAUUCCUAUAGGAUCCUAUAGGAAAUUGGGCCAAAAUCUAAUAGGAAUU